rnacentral:rRNA from 1 species
ACUAACAAGGAUUCCCCUAGUAACUGCGAGUGAACCGGGAAAAGCUCAAAUUUUGAAUCUGGCGGUCUUUAUGGCCGUCCGAGUUGUAAUCUAGAGAAGCGUCUUCCGCGCUGGACCGUGUAUAAGUUUCCUGGAAUGGAACGUCGUAGAGGGUGAGAAUCCCGUCUUUGACACGGACUACCAGGGCUAUGUGAUGCGCUCUCGACGAGUCGAGUUGUUUGGGAAUGCAGCUCAAAUAGGGUGGUAAAUUCCAUCUAAAGCUAAAUAUAGGCGAGAGACCGAUAGCGAACAAGUACCGUGAGGGAAAGAUGAAAAGAACUUUGGAAAGAGAGUUAAACAGUACGUGAAAUUGCUGAAAGGGAAACGCUUGAUGUCAGUCGCGUUUGUCGGGGAUCAGCCUUGCUCUUUUGCUCGGCGUACUUCCUGGCGAACGGGUCAGCAUCAGUUUUGUUCGUCGGAAAAUGGCUCGAGAAAUGUGGCACUCUUCGGGGUGUGUUAUAGACUCGGGUCGAAUACGACGUCCGGGACUGAGGAACUCAGCACGACCUUCGGGUUCGGGGCUUAGGCCCACGUUAACGUGCUUAGGAUGCUGGCAUAAUGGCCUUAAGCGACCCGUCUUGAAACACGGACCAAGGAGUCUAACUCGCAUGCGAGUGUUUGGGCGAUUAAAACCCGAGCGCGUAAUGAAAGUGAAAGUCGAGACCCCUGUCGUGGGGGGCAUCGACGCCCGGACCAGAGCUUCUGCGACGGAUCUGCGGUAGAGCAUGCGUGUUGGGACCCGAAAGAUGGUGAACUAUGCCUGAAUAGGGUGAAGCCAGAGGAAACUCUGGUGGAGGCUCGUAGCGAUUCUGACGUGCA